rnacentral:lncRNA from 10 species
CUUCGAAAUUAAUAUACAUACUCAUCAGUACCCUGUCUUUCUAUUUCUUAAAUUAGCUCAAGAGAGCAGCAUGGUUUCCAGCGAUGGUUAAACAUUUCCACCAAGAAGCCUUAGUGAAAUUGGAAAGUAAUUGGAAGACAAAACAGAAAGAAAAGGAACCUGACAUCAAAAUAGAGAUUUUGUAACGGCUUAAGAACAGAGACCAGUUUGGAAGAUCAAGAGCCAUUAGGUUACAGAACUUUAAAAGAAAGAAAUACUUCUGAAUCACUGAAUAUGGACUCACCAUAAUGAAUCUGCUAAUUCCCGAUUAUGUGUCUUGUGGUUUAGUUAAAUGACAACUGCAUAUUUUUGAAGAUCAACUACUAAUUAGUUCUCAGCGGAUUCACAGGAAUACUGCUUUCCCUCAAUUUGGAAAAGAUCAUUAUAAUACUGAAAUUUCUCAUUUUCAUUUGUAUAUUGUACCCUGUAAGCUGUACUAUUUUUGUUUCUCAUUUUCAUUUGUAUAUUGUACCCUGUAAGCUGUACUAUUUUUGUUUCUCAUUUUCAUUUGUAUAUUGUACCCUGUAAGCUGUACUAUUUUUGUUUCUCAUUUUCAUUUGUAUAUUGUACCCUGUAAGCUGUACUAUUUUUGUUUCUCAUUUUCAUUUGUAUAUUGUACCCUGUAAGCUGUGCUAUUUUUGCACAACUUGUACUCAGUGCUUUCCUCCUGAAGUUGAAAAUAUUUAUGGUUGAAAGCUUAAAAACAAAUCAAGACAUGUGAUCCACAAUUUAAAUAUUAAACUCAUUUUAAAAUUGAAGCCAUUCAUAAUUUUCCACUCAGACAUUAUCAGUGAGUUUUACUUCUUUUGUUCCUGCUACCCAAUCUUGAUAUUUUUUUACUCCAUUCUAGUUAUUUCACCCACUGCUAAGCAUUUCUUUUUUUCUUCCAUAAGGACAAAUUCAAGGAAAAAUGGUAGUUAUAGACAACACUUUUUUAAACUUUAGCAAUGAAACAGCUUAACUGAAUCCCAUGAAAAAAGUGUAUGUUCUUUAACUUUGUUUAUUUUCUUUAUUGGGUAAAGUAAUAUUCAAGAACAUGUUAAAUAAGUUGGGAUCUGGAAGCAGCUUUCUAAUAUUUUACCAUUAAAGUGAAAUUACAG